ensembl:snRNA U1 U1 spliceosomal RNA
AUACUUACCUAGCAGGGGAGAUUCCAUGAUCAUGAAGGUGGUUUUCCCAGGGCAAGGCUUCUCCAUUGCACUCUGCACGCGCUGACCCCUGCUAUUUCCCAAAAUGUGAGAAGCUUGACUGCAUAGUUUGUGAUAGUGGGGACUCUGUUCAUGCUCUCCCUG